UGACGUAGGUGGCAAGCGUUGUCCGGAUUUAUUGGGUUUAAAGGGUGCGUAGGCGGUUUUGUAAGUCAGUGGUGAAAUACUCUAGCUUAACUAGAGGGGUGCCAAUGAUACUGCGGAACUUGAGUACAGAUGAGGUAGGCGGAAUUGACGGUGUAGCGGUGAAAUGCAUAGAUAACCGUCAAGAACACCGAUAGCGAAGGCAGCUUACUGGGCUGUAACUGACGCUGAUGCACGAAAGUGUGGGGAUCAAACAGG
rnacentral:rRNA from 1 species